GGGGCAGCGAGUAGAUUGCUUGCAAUCUAUGUCGGCGACCGGCGCACGGGUGCGUAACGCGUAUGCAACCUACCCAUUACAGGGGGAUAACACUGAGAAAUCGGUACUAAUACCCCAUAACAUCCAGGGAGGCAUCUUCUUGGGUUGAAAACUCCGGUGGUAAUGGAUGGGCAUGCGUUGUAUUAGUUAGUUGGUGGGGUAACGGCUCACCAAGACAACGAUACAUAGGGGGACUGAGAGGUUAACCCCCCACAUUGGUACUGAGACACGGACCAAACUCCUACGGGAGGCAGCAGUGAGGAAUAUUGGUCAAUGGACGCAAGUCUGAACCAGCCAUGCCGCGUGCAGGAAGACGGCUCUAUGAGUUGUAAACUGCUUUUGUACGAGGGUAAACGCAGAUACGUGUAUCUGUCUGAAAGUAUCGUACGAAUAAGGAUCGGCUAACUCCGUGCCAGCAGCCGCGGUAAUACGGAGGAUUCAAGCGUUAUCCGGAUUUAUUGGGUUUAAAGGGUGCGUAGGCGGUCGGAUAAGUUAGAGGUGAAAUCCCGAGGCUCAACUUCGGAAUUGCCUCUGAUACUGUUCGGCUAGAGAGUAGUUGCGGUAGGCGGAAUGUAUGGUGUAGCGGUGAAAUGCUUAGAGAUCAUACAGAACACCGAUUGCGAAGGCAGCUUACCAAGCUACUUCUGACGUUGAGGCACGAAAGCGUGGGGAGCAAACAGGAUUAGAUACCCUGGUAGUCCACGCAGUAAACGAUGAUAACUCGUUGUCGGCGAUACAAUGUCGGUGACUAAGCGAAAGCGAUAAGUUAUCCACCUGGGGAGUACGUUCGCAAGAAUGAAACUCAAAGGAAUUGACGGGGGCCCGCACAAGCGGAGGAACAUGUGGUUUAAUUCGAUGAUACGCGAGGAACCUUACCCGGGCUUGGAAGUUAGUGACAGAUCUGGAAACAGGUCUUCCCUUCGGGGCACGAAACUAGGUGCUGCAUGGUUGUCGUCAGCUCGUGCCGUGAGGUGUCGGGUUAAGUCCCAUAACGAGCGCAACCCCUACCGUCAGUUGCCAGCAGGUCAAGCUGGGCACUCUGGCGGGACUGCCGGUGUAAGCCGAGAGGAAGGUGGGGAUGACGUCAAAUCAGCACGGCCCUUACGUCCGGGGCUACACACGUGUUACAAUGGCAGGUACAGAGGGCAGCUACCCAGCGAUGGGAUGCGAAUCUCGAAAGCCUGUCUCAGUUCGGAUUGGAGGCUGAAACCCGCCUCCAUGAAGUUGGAUUCGCUAGUAAUCGCGCAUCA
rnacentral:rRNA from 1 species